rnacentral:lncRNA from 1 species
UAAAAUCAAACUUGCCAAUUGAAAUUCUCUUUUCUUGUCCACUCCCUUAUCUAAAAAAAAUUAGUAAUCAAAAGCUUACACGAAAAUUUGACACCCAUAGGUAUCGAAAUAUUUCUGCAAAAAAAAAAAACUUUGAAAAAUAAUUUCCUGAAGAUGUUUAGUUUGAGAAAUAACAUUUCAAUAAGUGGAGUAUGCAUCACAUUUCAAACAAAACAG